GUGGGUAGUUUGACUGGGGCGGUCUCCUCCCAAAGAGUAACGGAGGAGCACGAAGGUUGGCUAAUCCUGGUCGGACAUCAGGAGGUUAGUGCAAUGGCAUAAGCCAGCUUGACUGCGAGCGUGACGGCGCGAGCAGGUGCGAAAGCAGGUCAUAGUGAUCCGGUGGUUCUGAAUGGAAGGGCCAUCGCUCAACGGAUAAAAGGUACUCCGGGGAUAACAGGCUGAUACCGCCCAAGAGUUCAUAUCGACGGCGGUGUUUGGCACCUCGAUGUCGGCUCAUCACAUCCUGGGGCUGAAGUAGGUCCCAAGGGUAUGGCUGUUCGCCAUUUAAAGUGGUACGCGAGCUGGGUUUAGAACGUCGUGAGACAGUUCGGUCCCUAUCUGCCGUGGGCGCUGGAGAAUUGAGGGGGGCUGCUCCUAGUACGAGAGGACCGGAGUGGACGCAUCACUGGUGUUCGGGUUGUCAUGCCAAUGGCACUGCCCGGUAGCUAAAUGCGGAAGAGAUAAGUGCUGAAAGCAUCUAAGCACGAAACUUGCCCCGAGAUGAGUUCUCCCUGAGACCUUGAGUCUCCUGAAGGAACGUUAAAGACGAUGACGUUGAUAGGUCGGGUGUGUAAGCGCAGCGAUGCGUUGAGCUAACCGAUACUAAUGAACCGUGAGGCUUAACCUU
rnacentral:rRNA from 1 species